GUUUGAUUCUGUAGCUCAGAUUGAACGCUGGCGGGAUGCUUUACACAUGCAAGUCGAACGGCAGCACGGACUUCGGUCUGGUGGCGAGUGGCGAACGGGUGAGUAAUGUAUCCGGAACGUGCCUAGUAGCGGGGGAUAACUACGCGAAAGCGUAGCUAAUACCACAUACGCAUCGAGAAAGCGAGUUCUUCAAAGGCCCUCACUAUUAAACAGCGAUAUCGGAUUAGCUAGUUGGUGGGGUAACGGCUCACCAAGGCGACGAUCCGUAGCUGGUUUAGAGGACGACCAGCCACACUGGGACUGGGACACGGCGGAACUCCUACGGGAGGCAGCAGUGGGGAAUUUACGGACAAUGGAAACCUGAUCCAGCCAUCCCGCGUAUGCGAUGAAGGCCUUCGGGUUGUAAAGCACUUUUGGCAGGAAAGAAACGGCACGGGAUAAUACCCCGUGCAACUGACAGUUACCUGCAGAAUAAGCACCGGCUAACUACGUGCCAGCAGCCGCGGUAAUACGUAGGGUGCAAGCGUUAAUCAGAAUGGGCGUAGCAUGCGCCAGCGGUUCGGAAAGAAAGAUGUGAAAUCCCGGGCUUAACUUUGGAACUGCAUUUUUUAACUACCGAGCUAAGUCCCAUGUGUCAGAGGGUGAAUUCAUGUUAGCGUGAAAUGCGUGAAUGUAGGAGGAACACCGAUGGCGAAGGCAGCCUCCUGGGAUAACACUGACGCUCAUGCACGAAAGCGUGGGAGCAAACAGGAUUAGAUACCCUGGUAGUCCACGCCCUAAACGAUGUCAACUAGCUGUUGGGGCCUUCGGGCCUUGGUAGCGCAGCUAACGCGUGAAGUUGACCGCCUGGGGAGUACGGUCGCAAGAUUAAAACUCAAAGGAAUUGGCAGGGACCCGCACAAGCGGUGGAUGAUGUCAGUUAAUUCGAUGCAACGCGAAAAGCCUUACCUACCCUUGACAUGUCUGGAAUCCCGAAAGAGAUUUGGGAGUGCUCGCAAAGAGAACCGGAACACAGGUGCUGCAUGGCUGUCGUCAGCUCGUGUCGUGAAAUGUUGGUUAAGUCCCGCAACGAGCGCAACCCUUGAAAGUAUUAGUUGCUACGAGGGCGCUCAGCCAGGACUGCCGGUGACAAACCGGAGGAAGGUGGGGAUGACGUCAGAUCUCGCGGCCAUAUGGGUAGGGCUUCACGUCAUACAAUGGUCGGGACAGAGGGGUCGCCAACCCGCGAGGGGUAAUCCCAGGAAACCCGAUCGUAGUCCGGAUCGCAGUCUGCAACUCGACUGCGUGAAGUCGGAAAUCGCUAGUAAUCGCGGAUCAGCAUGUCGCGGUGAAUACGUUCGGGUCUUGUACACACCGCCCGUCACACGCCAUGGGAGUGGGUUUACCAGAAGUAGUUAGCCUAACCGUAAGGAGGGCGAUUACCACGGUAGGAUUCUAUGACUGGGGUGAAGUCGUAACAAGGUAGCUCU
rnacentral:rRNA from 1 species